CGUCCCGGAUGUCGGGGGCGUGCGCGGCGCCCCGCUCGACGAGCGGGGCGGCCUUGGCCGGGCUGCGGUUCCACACCGUGGUGGGGUGCCC
rnacentral:tRNA from 1 species